AUCAUAAGAACCAUGGGAUCUACUGGUUCCACUUCAUACCACAUCACCCAGAAGCUGUCCGCCUAAUGUACGAUUAGAAUGACUUCGUAAAAAUGCAGAUUACAGUCAGCGGGAGAAAUCUGGGAGGAAGAGACAGCAGGGAAACCUUUUGGGAGACUGGAAUCAUAUGCCAUCACCACCACCAUCACGACUACCACCGCCAUGGAGGUUUGUAGAGAGGUUUCACUACAUAAGUUGUUUUCAAACUGGGUUGUGGGGAAUCCUAAGGGCUCUGAGAACCCAGCUGGUUCUGCCGACAAUGAAAAACUUGGUGCCAAAUAAUAAAUAUUUAAAAACA